UAAAAUGGUGAUUCUCAAGUCACAAAUUAAAUUGUAAAUUCAGUGAUUCAGCAAUGAUUCUGAUUUGAUUUGUCAAUGUAAAGGUUUAGUUAGUUUGACGAUCAAGAUUAGUAGAUGAUCCCUGACUUGCCGUGUCAUGUGACAGAGAUUUGUCUUACAAGUUCAAUUUGCUUUCAAGAUUUUAAUCGUUUUUAACCACAUUUUUGAUUACAUUAUAGUGAUUAUUUGUUAAUUUUAAAUUGUGAUUGAAUUUCAUGAUAGUGUGAUACCGUUAAGACACUCAAUCAAUUUGAUAAUCUAAUUCAAUCAACGAAAAAGUCAAGCUAACCUGUUAAUGAUAAGAGCCAUGAGAGAUGUUAAAGGCUAGAGACUAUCCAAUAAACAGGAAACCUUAAUGAAGCACUCGCUGAUGGACACUGGAUUUGACUUAACCAUAUUUACCGUUAUUUGCUAUUAAAUAACAUUGGACUCAUCGCAUGUUUUUAGUUUUGUUUCAAAUAAUUUACAAAUAGUGCGUGUGUGUGUUGUCAAUGUUUAGCUAAUAUGUUUUUCAAUCCCUCUCGUCUUACGUUAAUCUCCCAAUAAAAGCUUGUUAAUCCGCUUAUCGUGUGUAUAACAGACCUUUUUUAUAUUCACCUUCACCUUCAUCAUCUUCAUUGGACACUCCCAACAUAUCAGUUUGUUAUUGUUGUUAUCAGCAUCGUGUUAUGGGUUAGUGUGAAUGAAAACUAAUACAGAUAAACACGCAACAAGAUAAAUGAUGAAACAGUUUUUAGUUGCUGUUUCUUGUGUGUUAAACAUCAUCCUUAAUUACUCUCAUCAUUAGCCAGUGUUACCUGAUUCAGACUAAUGCGAUAAUAGCUAUUGUCAAAAGAGCCAGACAAAACAUUUACAAAUCAACAAUUUUACUGAUGCUCCAAUAACAUGAAAAAUUUGGUGUAAAAUUGAUAAAAUUUCAUUAUUUUAACCCAUUCAGGUUGAUUGAUGGAUUGCUUUUUUUGGAGUGAAAAAUAUUGGACAACAAAAAAGUCAACCUACAACAACUCUGUGUGAUUGUGUCAUCAAAUUGCUAUCGAUAAGGUCACAAUGGGUGCAAAUAAAUGGGAAAAGAUUGGUAUCAAGGAAAACCUGACUGUUAACCACAUCCAAGUAAAUUGAAACAUGGCUUUUAACAAGGUUGAUCAGAACGAUUUGAAUGCCUAUGGUUAUCAUCUGAUAUAAUGUGAAACACGCACCUCAACUAUCAAUAUCAUCUUGUUUGAUGAUGAUGGAAAUGAUGGUGAUGAGUGAAUGAUUAGUUUGUAUCUCAAGCUAAGAAAGACGAGAAGAUGGAAAACAAAUAUAGUCUCUUUCAUGGUGGUCUUCUUUCUUCAUCCUCAUCCUCAUCAUCAUUAUCAUCAUCAUUAUCAUCAUCUUUUCUUGUAAGAUUAAGGAAGAUGAAAGAUGACGAGAGUUGGGUGAGUGAAAGGAGCGAUCAAGUUUCUCGGUCCCUCAAUUGGUGGUCUCAAGUUAUCUUAAGGGCAAAGCGAUAUCCACUUUGUUUGCUGCCAUCAAAAAUGCUAUCAAGUCCAGCAAGGUUAAAGAUCAUAAAGGUUGCUGUUUAAUAAAUUAUUGGUAUAAAUAGUGACUAUUUAAAGUAAUCAUUUAUGCUAAUUCAUAAUAUUAUUGAAUAAUAACUCUUUCAACUAUCUUUCAAAGUUAAUCAAAUUUCAAAGCCAACUUACAAUCAUUUGCUUUGUUUCCUUAUUUUUCAAUCAAUGUCUGUGGUUAAGGAGCUUCUUUCAUUGCAUUCCUCAUCACGACCCAUUCACGCAGUUGGAUAUCAACAUGUUACUAAUAAUUAAUUAAAUACGGAAAUUUGUUUCAUCAACAUCACCAGCAAUCCAUCAUAUUUAAAUUAGUCUCUUCAACAGAUUAAUCUUUCCAUUUUGCAUCGCAAACUAAUUGCAAUUUCAUUGUGUUAUCAUGAUCAACUUGUAGCUAUUAAUGUAACCUUUUGAGAUGAAGAGUGCGUAAAUGUUCAAACAAAUUGUACCUACAAAUGAUAAGUUAAUUGAAUAGUUACAUGGUUAAAGAGCCGCAACUCAAUUUGAUAAGAACGAUCAAGUGUCUGAAUUGAAAUGUAAUUGAUAAGCCAUACACUGAUGUUAAUGAUUAAUUAAUUUGACACAAAAAAUUUCAAUCUUUACAAGGUUAACCGAAAAAAUGAAUGUCUAUUGAUUUUGUAUCAGUUGAUGAAUCUUGAUCUGCACAAGAAAGCAACUUAAUCUGUUUAAUAGCAAUAAUCACAAUUUACAAUUUAAUGACAUUGAAAUAUUUAAAGCUUACCAGGUAUGAUUUAAAUUGUUGAUAAUUUACGAUAAAAAUCAAUCCUAAUAACCAAAGAUAUUCAGUAAACUUGAUUCCUAUGUAAUAAUGGCGAUGACACAAAGUAAGCAGUGAUAAGUACUUUAACGAAAAGAUUAAUGGUUAAGUAAUAAUAAUGAAAUAAAAUUGAAA